AUGCUGAUAUGAGUAUCAUAGAUACUAAAUUACUGGAAUGAUACAGAGAAGGUUAUUGUGGCCCCUGUACAAGAUGGCAUGUAUCUUCAUGAAAUAUUCCAUAUCUGG
ensembl:snRNA U6 U6 spliceosomal RNA